UGAAAGGGCUUGAGCAUGUGUCUUAUUAGGACCUUGCGUGGACUUCCCACUGGAUACUUAAAAGAAGUUGUAGCACACACUUUUUUUAUAGUACGAGCUGCUUGUAGCAUAAAGAUGCAUCCCAAGUCCCCUUUAAACAAGAGUUGUUGUUAAUGCGUUGAGCCUUAAGGAACAUGAAUUGGAGAGCCAGUGCCAUAAGCUACGAGACCUUCUCCUUGACAAAUGAGCUAUUGGUAAGGGUGGCUCGAGUGCUUUUUCC
rnacentral:lncRNA from 1 species